rnacentral:rRNA from 1 species
GUGGAUUAGAUACCCUGGUAGUCCACGCCCUAAACGAUGAAUACUCGAUGUUAGCGAUAUACAGUUAGCGUCAAAGCGAAAGCGUUAAGUAUUCCACCUGGGGAGUACGCCCGCAAGGGUGAAACUCAAAGGAAUUGACGGGGGCCCGCACAAGCGGAGGAGCAUGUGGUUUAAUUCGAUGAUACGCGAGGAACCUUACCCGGGCUUGAAAGUUACUGAAGUAUCCAGAGAUGGAUGCGUCCGCAAGGACAGGAAACUAGGUGCUGCACGGCCGUCGACAGCU